CGCGGGUUGUUUUUGGUUGUUAUCGGGCCCGCACAUUGUUUCGGGAGACCCGUUAAUAUCGCGGAUGCCUUUCACUGGAUCGCUCCCCAUUUCUAGCGGCGAGUGCUCGGAGGCAGAGAGGCAUGGCGAGAUUUUGGUUGGAGGCCUCACUCGCUGAUCUCUCGAGGCGCUUUGGUGGGAGAAAGGGAGAGGCGAAGUCGACGCCAUGGCGAUUUGGCUGCGGUUUCUUCUCGGGUCUUUGAUUCGUGCCGCUCCUUCUUUUGUGGUGGUCCGCAAGCCCUGCGUCUCUCCCCGCCCCCUACAUGAGGUUGUUGGUUUGCAAGCACCCCCUCUCCCCCUGUUCCAUUUUCCCUUCGUUUUUCUGUGCGAUUUGCUAGAUCUGGUUGAUUGUCUCGUUGUAUUCUUCUACUUGCAUUUUUCGUAUGUGGUAUUUUUUGUUGCACAUGUAAAUUUAGCGGUGGAUCCCUCUUGUCUAUUUUGAUUUCUUCUUCCGAAUGUAGAUGUAGUUUCCUUGUGGCAGGCUUUGAAUUAGCGGUGUUGAUCCAUUGGUAGCUGCUAGUGUGGUAGGUUGAUGUUCGUCUGGUCUAGCCUGUUUUUGAUGUAGAUGUGUGGUUUUCUAGUGUAAUUUCUGAUGUAGAUGUAUGGUUGCUCCGCUUUUCCUCUGUUGUUUGAUUCUGGACUGAAUUUCUACAAUUAAGUAAUAGUUAUUUGAUCUGUACUAUUGCAGUGUAAUUUUGAGUGGAUUUCACUGUAAUUAAGUAACAGUUGUUUGGCUACUAUAGACAGCAAUAGUGAAUGGCCAGUGUAAAUGUAAUAUUAGGUUUAAUUUUACAGUGAUAUUUCUACUGUAGUUUCAGUCUAUAGUAGUCUAUCUUACACUGGUUUUUCACUGUAAAUGGCAAGCGUAAAUGUACUUUUUAGGUUUUAUUCUGGACUGAAUUUCUUCAAUUAAGCAACAGUUGUUUGGUCUGUACUAUAGUGAUAUCUCUAUUUAAAUUUCACUGAUAUCUAUGUGUAACUUACACUGUACAUGGUGGUACAUUUAACUGAAUUGUGUGCUUCCAUUGUUUUAUACUUUUGUUUACAUGGUGGUACGUUAACUGAACUUUUCAGUACAUAGAGAAAGUAAUUUAAUGAUGAUAGAUGUAGACAUGCAAAUGUUGACUCUUCUAGUCGGUUGAGUCUCGUGAUGUGUACGUGUUGGUCUGAAAUAAUUCUGUUUUAGUUUCAGUGUUUUGGACUGUAAUUUCUAGUGUAAUUUUGAGUGGAUUUUCAGUAUAGUUUCAUUUGUAGUCCAGUUUUUGGUUCAAAUUUACAGUGAUAUUUUGUACUGUUGGUUCAGGUAUAUAGUCUUUUCUCUCACAGUAAUUUGUUUCUUGUAACUUGCAAUCUGUGUUAAACUGAGGGCUUAACCCCACCAUUAAUUUACACUAUAAAUUAGUGUAGCUAACCUGUAAUUUUUGUACUUACAGUCUUUCCGGUCUAACUUGCAGUGUAAUUACGUUGUACUUUCAGUGUAAUUAUCUGUUUAUUAUGUGUAAUUAACCUGAAUUUUUGUACUUACAGUCUAUGCACUGAAACUUUCCAGUCUAAUUUGCAAUGUAAAUACACUGUAAUUUUCAGUGUAAUUAACCUAUUUUUUUGUAGUUAUAGUAUGUGUACUAAAAUUUUUCAGUCUAAAUUGCAUUGUAAUUACACUAUAAAUUCAGUGUAAUUUGCAAUGUAAUUACACUCAGUGUUUAACCUGUGUAUUAAGUGUAAUUAUCCUGAAUUUUGUUCUUGCAGUCUAUGUACUAUAUUUUUCCAAGCUAAAUUGCAGUGUAAUUCUACUGUAAAUUUUUUAUCACAUUUAUGUCAUAUAAGCCUUGUGAGCAGGGACCCCUUGUUAUUCCUCCUGAUGGCAUUGUAAAUUGUUCAGAGAAGCCACAUAGACGAGUUUCCUUUUCAGCACAUUGUACAUCAGUGUUGAGUUUUCAUCAAAAAUGGGAGGAGGCUUGGUUGAGUGUACCAUGUGAUCAUUUUUCCUUCAUUUGUCUAUGAUAUACUUGUCAGGUAUCCUCUCUACGUUCAGUUGGAUCAUCACUCUGAGUAUGUGUCAGGAUAGGAUUCCAUCCUUGUGAAAUGUGCAGCAGAUGCAUCAUGCAUGAGUACUUCUCUUGCAUCAAAUCUAUCUCAUGUAGGUUCUUUCGUUUUUAACCAUGUAGUUUUUUUUCUUUUUCAAGCUCAAACACAUGCAACCUCGUUGUAUCUUCCAUUUUCUUUCAGAACUUCCUGAAGAUGCGAAUGUUGUAGAGCUCAUACACUUGUCGUUCUAUACUGUAUUUGGACCAGAACUUCUUGGGCGCAUCCUUUUUGUUUCUAGACAAGUGAUCACAUUCUUGCUUUCUCUCAUGAAUGACUUCUAUUAUCCUGUCAUACUCUCUUAGGAAGCUUGUUGCACUGAAUUUAGCCCCCACUCCCCUUUUGAACAGUGCAUUUGUCAUACUCUCUUCGAGGUACAGCGACUGCCCUUUGAUGCUAUAUUCUAUUGCAUCUGAUUCGAUUGCAGGCAUCUGCACUCAAUGUUUUCAGAAAGUAUAGGUAAUGAAGUGUUGUAGAAUAAACAAGAGUAUUUCUGAUGUCCCCAUUUGUCCUUUUUUUGCAUGUAUGCAUGUUUAUGCAUAUGUAGGGUGCAACAAGUAGGUAAGAAAUGCAGUAAAGCAUGUUGCAAGUCAUUGACAAGGUUUUUUGUACAAUUUUUUCUUUGAAGCCAGAGUUAUUUGUGUCAAUUCCAGUAGUCUCUUCAUACACAAGUUUCUGAUUUCUUCUAUUUAUGUGCAAAUCAGAGCUUGUAAUUUACAAGGUAGGGUGCAGAGUGUCAGUGCUUAACCUGAUUGUCCUCAGUCUUUUUUUCUGAUAAUUUUACUUUCACUGUUAAUUUUCAUGGCAUAUUAGAUUAAGUGUGAACUAGUAUCAGAUCAUAGUAAUUUGAACUACAACUUUGGACAGUACAAUUGUUUCUAAAAUACAGUCAUAUGUUCACAGCUUUAUACUGAAAUCUAAUCUGCCAUGUCUAAAAUACAGUCAUAGAUUCACAGAUACAAAUGUCCAAACAUGAUCAAAAGUAUCUGAACAAUGUACAGUUUCUCAGCACCAAACUUCUGAAAUUACAGCAGUACUACUCUUUUUGUUUGAACAAGUUUUUCCUAAAUGGAAUUCAUAGCUUCCUCAUGCCCCCCCCCCCCCCCUCUCAUCCCCAAACUUUUCUUGGCCCUGUGUUGUAGCUAUAGCUGCGAAUUUCUGAGCACUAAUUUUGCAACUAGUUUUCAGAAUCUAGUGUUCCAGAAGUGUUAUUCCUGUGACCAUAAACUAGUAAUUCAUAUGUGUUCAUAGUCUAGUUGUUCCUAGAGUUUCUCCUGCUCCAUGCUAUCUUUUCUGCCUGUGUUCUAAUCUUUGUUCUGUUAAGUUGUGUUCUUCAGCAUAUGUUAAUGAUCCUCACAGGGAGCUUGUUUUUCUUUCAGAUGUCAUGAGGUAGGAGAGAGAUCUUGGAGGAGUGAAUGCAUAAGAGGGGGGGUGUUUACCUGUGUUUUUUCUGCAUCUCCAGCCAGAUUUGUGUCCCAGAUCAUGGAGGAAUUGCCCUCUCUGGUGUGGACCCAUAAGUGGAUUUACAUUGUAAUUCCUACUGGAUUUACAGUGUUUUUCUUAGUGGAUAUCCAGUGUAAUUCCAAGUGGAUUUACACUGUAAUUACUACUGGAUUUACAGUGUUUUUCCUAGUGGGUUUCCACUGUAAUUCUAAGUGGAUUUACAUUGUAAUUCCUACUGGAUUUACAAUGUUUUUCUUAGUGGAUUUACACUGAAAUGCUUAGUGUAAUUAUUUAGUACAAAUUAUUUGGAUUGGAAGUGUAUUUUUAGCGGUA